rnacentral:rRNA from 1 species
GAUGAACGCUGGCGGCGUGCCUAAUACAUGCCAGUCGAGCGAACAGAUGAGGAGCUUGCUCCUCUGACGUUAGCGGCGGACGGGUGAGUAACACGUGGAUAACCUACCUAUAAGACUGGGAUAACUUCGGGAAACCGGAGCUAAUACCGGAUAAUAUAUUGAACCGCAUGGUUCAAUAGUGAAAGACGGUUUUGCUGUCACUUAUAGAUGGAUCCGCGCCGCAUUAGCUAGUUGGUAAGGUAACGGCUUACCAAGGCAACGAUGCGUAGCCGACCUGAGAGGGUGAUCGGCAACACUGGAACUGAGACACGGUCCAGACUCCUACGGGAGGCAGCAGUAGGGAAUCUUCCGCAAUGGGCGAAAGCCUGACGGAGCAACGCCGCGUGAGUGAUGAAGGUCUUCGGAUCGUAAAACUCUGUUAUUAGGGAAGAACAAAUGUGUAAGUAACUAUGCACGUCUUGACGGUACCUAAUCAGAAAGCCACGGCUAACUACGUG